UACGAGGGGGGCAAGCGUUGUUCGGAAUUAUUGGGCGUAAAGGGUGCGUAGGCGGUUUGGUAAGUCUUAUGUGAAAUCUACAGGCUCAACUUGUAGUCUGCAUGAGAAACUGCCGGGCUUGAGUAUGGGAGAGGUGAGUGGAAUUCCUGGUGUAGCGGUGAAAUGCGUAGAUAUCAGGAGGAACACCUGUGGCGAAAGCGGCUCACUGGACCAUAACUGACGCUGGUGCACGAAAGCUAGGGGAGCAAACAGG
rnacentral:rRNA from 1 species